rnacentral:lncRNA from 1 species
AUUAUAGAGUAUUGAGGAGAGUUCCCUGUGCUACACAGUAGGUCCUUAUCAGUUAUCUUUUUUGUUUUGGGCCAUACCAUGCAGCAUGUGGGAUCUUUAUUCCCUGAUCAGGGAUCAAACCCAUGUUCACUGCAUUAGAAGUUGGAAUCUUCACCACUGGACCCCUGGGGAAGUCCCUAGUUAUCGAUUUUACAUAUGGUAGUGGGUAUAUGUCAAUCCCAAUCUCCCAAUUUAUCACGUCACCAUUUUCCCUCUGGUAACCAUAAGUUUACAACAUUUUCUUAUCCUCUAAGGGUUCAAAUGAAGCUUACAACUUUCUAGAAGGACUGGCCUGUCCCAGGUCUCCUAUAGAACUGAGAAGAGCACAGCUUCACAUUGGCACAAGAGACCUCAGACCAAUACCUGGCUGAGAGCAGGCCACCAACACACCAGUUUUCUAAAUCUGCCAGAAGUGUCUUGAAGCCUACCAAUUUUCUUGAAUAUUUUCAAUGAAUAUGGAUAUGGUCUUCCUAAUAAAUUAGUCUUGAACAUUUUCAGUGAAUAUAUUCUUCUCAGCAGCAUCUUAAGCUCAAUUUGUCUGAAGCUAAAUAUCAUGGGAGCUGUUUGGCUUUCUUAUGAUGAUAUUCUAAUGAAGAAUAUAUUCUUGAAUAUCUUAAGCAGAGUCUUGAAUACAAUUAAAACAUCCUGAAUAAAUUUUUGGUUAAGAGUAUUCAAGAAGUAUAAAUUCAAUGAAUAUCAUCAUUGAGCAUCUUAAACUAGCACAAGUAUAAGAGUGUAAGUCACUGACUGUCUUUAAGCGGGGGUGUAUUCACAUUCAUUAACUAUAUUUGAUAGGAAUUUUCCUUAAAUAAGGUUUUGGGAAAUUGGCAGCGCUGACUAAUUUGAGCAGUUGGUCAUCAGCUACUUGAUUUUUCAGAGAUCUUCAUAUCACAGAACUGACUUUUGGCGGAUUGGUCUGAAUCCCUCAAAGACCACUGUGGAAGAUGUCCAGAGUGCCUCCUGGAGGCCUGACAGAGGGAUGUGCUUGGAUGCAGCCUAACCAUGCAGAUGAGGACAGUUCUGGGGAAAGAACCUGGGUCCCAAAAGAGGAUGUGGAGCAAAGUCUGACGUAUUCCAGACCACUCAUCCCAGGACUUCUUCACAAGUAAGAGAUGAACUUCUGCCUUCCUUAACCCACUGCAUUUUGGGAUUCUUUGUUAUAGCAGCUUAACCUUCACCUGAACUACUGCACAGACUUUGUGGAAGAUUUGGGAAUAGCAGGAGUGAAUUACAGCACAGUGCGAAAUAGGAAACAACCUAACAUACAACAUUCACCAUCUCCAUCCUUUGUUGAUGUUCAGUCACUCAGUCGUGUCCAGCUCUUCAUAACCCCAUG